rnacentral:rRNA from 1 species
CAGCAGCCGCGGGAAUACGAAGGGUGCAAGCGUUACUCGGAAUUACUGGGCGUAAAGCGUGCGUAGGUGGUGGUUUAAGUCCGUUGUGAAAGCCCUGGGCUCAACCUGGGAAUUGCAGUGGAUACUGGGUCACUAGAGUGUGGUAGAGGAUAGUGGAAUUUCCGGUGUAGCAGUGAAAUGCGUUGAGAUCGGAAGGAACAUCUGUGGCGAAGGCGACUAUCUGGGCCAACACUGACACUGAGGCACGAAAGCGUGGGGAGCAAACAGGAUUAGAUACCCCAGUAGUCCCUGUCUCUUAUAC